rnacentral:snRNA from 1 species
AUUCUUGUGCUCGGGCACGUACUGUCGCCAGUGAGGUCUUUACCGAGGCACAGUCUUUUGCUGAUUGCAAAUUACACAUCCGAACACGUCUGUCGACUUCGGUCUUCAGCAAUUUUUGGCAAAACCGUCU